UACGUAGGGUGCAAGCGUUAAUCGGAAUUACUGGGCGUAAAGCGUGCGCAGGCGGUUUUAUAAGACAGGUGUGAAAUCCCCGAGCUUAACUUGGGACGUGCAUUUGUGACUGUAAGACUAGAGUAUGGUAGAGGGGGGUAGAAUUCCACGUGUAGCAGUGAAAUGCGUAGAGAUGUGGAGGAAUACCGAUGGCGAAGGCAGCCCCCUGGACCUGUACUGACGCUCAUGCACGAAAGCGUGGGGAGCAAACAGG
rnacentral:rRNA from 1 species